rnacentral:lncRNA from 1 species
CAAGUGCUCAUCGCCUAACCAACACUAACCUAGUGUUAUUCAGGCAAGCCCCGGUGCAUUUGCCACCUCCUUGAUGUUUUUAAACCUUUCUCACUUGCUUGAUGCAUUAGGUGAUAGGAGUUGAUUGUUAAAACAAUUCCUGCAUUACCUUCCUUGAAUUUGAUUACCUUCCUUGAUCACCCAUUUUACAAAAGAUUUUUGAUGCUUAGCCUUGCUUUAGAAAAACAAAAUGUUUUGUUUUUUACAAAAUAUGAUGUGGCAAAAGUGGGUGGGAUGUUUUCGAAAAUAAAACUUGAUGGUGGAUCCAUCAGGGCCUUGAUGGAUUCAACAUCUGGAAAAGAUGUACCUCUGCCAGGUACCAAACUUUGGGUUGAAAUGAUUAAGCUGAGACCGGGCGGGUGACUUGCACGAGAAAGAGAGUCUCGGUGUAGUGUCUCCGUCUCAGUCGAUUAAGGACCGUCUCGAUGUAGGCUUACUGACCAAGGACCCUUUAACUAGUCACAUGCCUCGUCAUGGGUAAGCCUUGCCUCGGGCAGACUAAGGCCAGAAUAAGAUAACACGGAAGAGGCUGGACGGUGGCGAGAGUAGCGUGUACCCUCCGUGGCAAGAGGCUGGACGGUGGUGUAUCUGUGCUCUCGGUUCGCGUGGACCUGAUCUGGUCUUAAGAACCCCGGUGGUGGGUUGACAUAUGCAAGGGUUAAGUGCUACAUAUGUCGUGUGAUUGGAGAUCCUCAGAUGAGUAUAAUCGAUUCGGAUCGCCGUACCUUCGCGAUCAUGAAGACUUGGUCACUGCCCUAUACGUAGAACUCAAGUAAAGAUAAAGGGUUGUUAAGAAAUUGGCUAGUGCAGGUCAAGUGCUUGAACUAGGGUAGAACGAACUCUAGAUGCAGGUAACUUUACCUAACCUGACAAUAAAAUUGGAUUUUAAGGAUCCACUUGUAGUAAGCUUUUCUGCAAAACAGAGUCUUUGAUUCUUGAUAAACCAUACCUUGACUCCCUGAUAACCAGCAUGCCCUUGAGAGUCUUUUCCUUAGUCGGGUAAGUCUUGCUGAGUAAUUUCGUACUCAGGGUUUUAUUCCCUGUUGUUUUUCAGGUUCUAACCUUGUGCUGCUGUGAUGGUGUUAAGUGCCGGUGGGCUCGGCCUUCUUAUAAGUCUAAGUAACCCUUCUAUACUUCUUAUUGAGGAUGGUCAUUUGAGCUAGCAUAUAUUUCAAACUUAUACUUUUGUAACCACUCCGAUAAAAUAAUGUAAAAUUUUUG